ACCCGGCAGCGGCCAGGCCCCGCUGCUCCUGGACUCAGAGAAUGGGCUUCUCUGUGUGUGCUUGUUUGCUUUGGUUUAAAGCUAAAAAAAAAAUGAUUUCACACAUAAUUAGGGCUGUGGCAGCAAGAUUGUGUUCAAGGUACUUUUACUGGAAAUAUCAAGAGGGGGACAAGGGAGGGUUGUGUUCCUUUUCCAGCUAGGUUGUGAGGAGGAGGAGAAGGAGUGAGGAGCUGGAAGGAUGGGACAACAGGCGGUGUUCAAGGUGGGGAGCAGUUUUCCCGGAGGCAGACCCAGUGUGGAUUGUGGAGGACACCUCAUAGGGAGACGAGGCAAGGGAGUGGAUGAAGGAGGAGAAGGAUGCAGGCUGAGGCCCCUGGCCAUAGGAGAAGCCGAGAGAAAGGGAAGAGAAACAGGAGAGCCGCUGGACACUUCUGCUGGAGUUACACCACCCAUAUGAGAUGACUAGUAGGACAGUCAUCAGCUGGACCCAGCUUAGCUGAGUUCUAGUCCUGACUUGGUAUAUCCAAAGGUCUCCGCAUCUUCCUGGACCUCAGAUGACUGGGUAUCCUUUUGUAGAAUGCCAGCUCAUGAAAAAAAAAAAAUGUGUGCCUCAUCUAGCUCCUCCCCUGUCACGUGACACCUGGAUGGCCUUUAGUGCAUCACGGACCAUGGCAAGUCAACCAGGACAUGGAAUCCACCCAGACCAGUGGGACCCACAGUUUGCUUGUUAUCUCAGUUUUAAAGUCCUCUGGGGUGGCACUGUUUGGGGAGGUCUAGCGAUGUGGCCUUGCUGAAGGAAGUAUGUCACAGGGAGUGGACUUUGGGGUUAAAAAGCCAUGUGCUGUUCCCAGGGCCUGCUCUCUGCUUCCUGUGGUUCAAGACUUGAACUCCCAGCUCGCUGCUCCAGCUGCCAUGCCCGCUGCUUUCCGCCAUGCUUCCGCGAUGGACUCUUGCCCCCACUCCGGAACCCCAAACUCAAAUAAACUCCUCCUUCUGUGA